rnacentral:rRNA from 1 species
UACGUAGGUGGCAAGCGUUGUUCGGAAUUAUUGGGCGUAAAGGGCGCGUAGGCGGCCCGCUAAGUCGAACGUGAAAUCCCCGAGCUCAACUCGGGAACUGCGUCCGAUACUGGCGGGCUUGAAUCCGGGAGAGGGAUGCGGAAUUCCAGGUGUAGCGGUGAAAUGCGUAGAUAUCUGGAGGAACACCGGUGGCGAAGGCGGCAUCCUGGACCGAUAUUGACGCUGAUGCGCGAAAGCCAGGGGAGCAAAGCGGG